CCUACGGGUGGCAGCAGUAGGGAAUAUUGCUCAAUGGGGGAAACCCUGAAGCAGCAACGCCGCGUGGAGGAUGAAGGUUUUCGGAUUGUAAACUCCUUUUGUUAGGGAAGAUAAUUACGGUAUCUAACGAAUAAGCACCGUCUAACUCCGUGCCAGCAGCCGCGGUAAUACGGAGGGUGCAAGCGUUACUCGGAGUCACUGGGCGUAAAGAGCGCGUAGGCGGGAUAGCAAGUCAGAUGUGAAAUCCUAUGGCUUAACCAUAGAACUGCAUUUGAAACUGUUAUUCUAGAGUAUGGGAGAGGUAGGUGGAAUUCUUGGUGUAGGGGUAAAAUGCGUAGAGAUCAAGAGGAAUACUCAUUGCGAAGGCGACCUGCUAGACUAUAACUGACGCUGAUGCGCGAAAGCGUGGGGAGCAAACAGGAUUAGAUACCCCUGUAGUC
rnacentral:rRNA from 1 species